GGGAAUCUCGUCGCCUAUUGGCUGAUCGGCGCGUGCUGCCUUUUUCGGCUGAUCAUUCUUGCCUUGCCAACCCCCGCAGGCGGAUGUGCAAAGCGAUAUAACGUUGAGCUCGCAGGAUAUACACUAAUAUGACGGUCGCGCGCCAGCCAGCGGGGGCUGGGGGGCACGCUGGGACUGCCGCAAGUACGCCGUCGUGUCCGUGCCCUUUCCUCUGGGUACGGCGCGAUGGGCUGAACCCCCACUUUGCCCUUAACGUGCCCCCCCACCCCCUCCACCUCCACCUCCAGCAUCGCCACCACCACCACCACCGGAACUGCAGGGCUGGAGACACUCAGCUGACAUGCCUAGAGACGGCGCACCUCUGACUCACCGCCGGGGCUGCUUCGUGGGACCUGUGCGGGUGUUGUGCAGCCGCCAGAAAGUAACCUAGUCAGGUGGUCGCCGGAAGAAGGGCAAAGCUAAAGGAGGCGAAAAGAGGAGGAAGAAGAGGAGAGGAAGAGGAGAGGAAGAAGAGGAAGAAGAGGAGGAAGGAAGGUGUUCAGCAAAUGGCCGUCUGACAGAUCCUUCAUAUUUUCGUGUUUUUCGUCUGUUUUGGUGAGUUGUCUGUGGCUGUGAGGCUGUGAGAGAGAGAGAGAGGGAGGCCGAGAAAAAGAGAGAGAGAGGGGGAUGGUGUGAGAGAGAGA